AGUCACGUGGCCGCCUGCCUUCUGUGACGUCGGGGCGGCUUCAAUGUUGCAGAGUUCGGCCCGUGGAAUUCUGAGAACUAAUUUGCUAUUCGGUGACAUAAGAGAGAUCCGGGGCUGAGGCCACCCGCUCUCGGUCGUGAAAGCCCCACAAGCACCGCCGGCCUCCUCGCAACACACCAGAUCCCCCCCGCCCCCCAGCAAAAGGCGUUACAAUGUAGGGACCUAGGAAAGGGUGGGGGGGGGGUUGAGCUUUCCAUAACGCAGGAGGAGAGGGGGAAAAAACCCGAAUAAAAAAUGCAGGAGGAGGAGGCAGACGGAAUCUCAGGCAGUCAGUAGGGAGGCGAGACGCAGGAUCGUUUAACGUUAUUUUUGCAUCUGCUUGAGCAAGUUUCUCCUUUAAACAGAUCCCGGGAUCCUGCUACCUUGGACUCUUUUAAAAAAAUAAUGAUCCAUCUUUUUAUGUAUAUAUAUUCUAUCCACCUCUUUUUGGCUCUCACGAUCGUUCAAGGGAUUUACUUUUGACGAAAGAAGCUUUUUUUCCCCCAUGCAGAUCUAUUUUUUAAUCAUGUUUUUGGCAUUGCUUUUUUAAUGUGCGGAAUAUCCUUGCUUUUGAAAGAAAUAUACUCAGAGGAUAAUGUUUUCGUUUGGUCCUUUUUUUUCCUUCCCUUUCCAGGACUCUUACGUGGUGGGUUUAUUCUUCGCAGUUGUUGUCAUUGUUGCUGAUUCUUGCAAAAUAGAUUGUAAACAGUAUGUCAAUAGAUAGCUGCCUCUGUGUAGAUGUCAAUGUCUAGCUACGGUAGUGUGCAAUUUUUUGGAUUAUUUUUGUUUUUUAAAGUCGCUGUAGACUGUGUCAGGAAGGAACUGUAAAGGCCUGCUUUUGCCAUUGGAGGAGACUUCAACCAGCAGUGAAAAUGUAAAGACCUUCCAAUCUGUGUUACUGAGAGUUGCUGGUGUGUGUGGGAAAAUCCACAGAACACUCUGCCUGAUCCCAGAAGACUUGCCCUGGGACUGCUGUGUUCAUUACAAAACAAUCCUGCAAUUAAAAUAAACUCCAAGAGCUAAACAAA